rnacentral:tRNA from 1 species
UCCCGGGUGGUGUAAUUGGCAACACAGCGGAUUUUGGCUCCGCCAUUCAUGGUUCAAAUCCAUGCCCGGGAG